UACGUAGGGUCCGAGCGUUGUCCGGAAUUAUUGGGCGUAAAGAGCUCGUAGGCGGUUUGUCGCGUCUGCUGUGAAAUCCCGAGGCUCAACCUCGGGUCUGCAGUGGGUACGGGCAGACUGGAGUGCGGUAGGGGAGAAUGGAAUUCCUGGUGUAGCGGUGGAAUGCGCAGAUAUCAGGAGGAACACCGAUGGCGAAGGCAGUUCUCUGGGCCGUAACUGACGCUGAGGAGCGAAAGCUAGGGGAGCAAACAGG
rnacentral:rRNA from 1 species